UACGAAGGGGGCUAGCGUUGCUCGGAAUCACUGGGCGUAAAGGGCGCGUAGGCGGCCAUUCAAGUCGGGGGUGAAAGCCUGUGGCUCAACCACAGAAUUGCCUUCGAUACUGUUUGGCUUGAGUAUGGUAGAGGUCAGUGGAACUGCGAGUGUAGAGGUGAAAUUCGUAGAUAUUCGCAAGAACACCAGUGGCGAAGGCGGCUGACUGGACCAUUACUGACGCUGAGGCGCGAAAGCGUGGGGAUCAAACAGG
rnacentral:rRNA from 1 species